CCUACGGGGGGCUGCAGUGGGGAAUUUUGGACAAUGGGCGCAAGCCUGAUCCAGCAAUGCCGCGUGCAGGAUGAAGGCCUUCGGGUUGUAAACUGCUUUUGUACGGAACGAAACGGUGAGCUCUAAUACAGUUUGCUAAUGACGGUACCGUAAGAAUAAGCACCGGCUAACUACGUGCCAGCAGCCGCGGUAAUACGUAGGGUGCGAGCGUUAAUCGGAAUUACUGGGCGUAAAGCGUGCGCAGGCGGUGAUGUAAGACAGAUGUGAAAUGCCCGGGCUCAACCUGGGACCUGCAUUUGUGACUGCAUCGCUAGAGUACGGUAGAGGGGGAUGGAAUUCCGCGUGUAGCAGUGAAAUGCGUAGAUAUGCGGAGGAACACCGAUGGCGAAGGCAAUCCCCUGGACCUGUACUGACGCUCAUGCACGAAAGCGUGGGGAGCAAACAGGAUUAGAUACCCCAGUAGUC
rnacentral:rRNA from 1 species